GUACAUUAGGUUAUAAACAUCACUGUUCAAAGUGUAAACAUCACUUGUUUAAAGCACAACCUUUAUUCCACCUUUUUGAUGAUGACAGACUUUGUGCUUUUCAUAAGCUUAGGCCCUGUUUCAACUCAGCUCAAUAUCAACACAAUGUUUAGAAAUAUUUUUCUUUUUUAUCACUUAUCAUUAAGGACCAAGUACAUUAGGUUAUAAAUAUUACUGUUCAAAGUGUAAACAUCACUUGUUUAAAGCACAACCUUUUCCCCCUUUUUAUCAUCAUCGAAAAGUUGCAUAAAAAAUGUGAGAUAAGUAGAUAUUAAAGCUUCCUCAUGGACACUGGGGCUACUCAAAUGCAAAUAUGGAUUAAUCAUCAUAGAUCAAACUAAAAAUUUCAGUUAUCAAAGAAAUAUAAACAAACAACUAGAGCAAAAACAAUGAAUUUCAUUGAUGAUUGAUAUGAUACUACCACAAAGCAUAAGAAGAAAUAAAAAUACUGAAAAUACGAGCAAAAUAAAUGGAACAUCCCGAACUGUCAUUGGUUAAUCUACACUAGGCUAGGAGGCUUAAGGCUGGGAAGAACUAGGUGCUUGGUUUUUGACUUGGAGGAGUUUCAGAAUACCAUAAAAAAUGCCAUCAUUCUCCUCUUUUUCUCUUGCCAGCUCAGUUUUGAGAGCAUUUCUUUUAGUAUCCAUCUUAACCAACCGCUUCUUUAGCCAUUCAAUCUCAUCAUCCUUAGCCUUACUUUCUUGUACCAAGGCACUGACCUUGCUAUUCACUGAUACCUUUUUGGAUGGACUAGAUUCUUUAGGAGUGAAAUUAACUUCAUAAUCACAAGCAAGCAGAGUAUUAAUACCAAAAUGAUCCUUUCUUGUACUAACCUCCUACUUCUUCAUAGGUACCUUGAAAUGUUACGACACAUUUGUGAGAAUGAAACCAUAGGGAAUGACAUGAGUUUUGGUGACAUUGAUAAUCCUAUCAGUAGGUCUGCAAAGGUUUUUUUUUCAGAUGGAACAUGUUCAUCUAUAUUUUUUCCAAGUUGAACCAACCCCUCCGCAGCUUCGCCAUACCUAUUUCCCAAUAUUUUGUUCACUCUCUCUUCUAUUUCACUAAAUUCAUCUUCCCAAACAACCAUUGCAUAGGUUUCUUUUGUUAGACCAAUAGGAGUGGGUGAAGAAUCAGCCACUCUUGUCCUAUUUCCCCUCACAGUACUCCUAGCGCCCAUUCUCUCCUUUUUUUACCACCAACUUAUGCAGAUUAUGUAGUCUCAAGACCUGCUAUACAUCCUACAAAUCUAUUCUCUAAAUUUGCAGCAACUUUAGAAAUUGUCUCAGGAGAAACUUUAGAAUCAGAAGAUAUCUGUUCAGUUUCGGAAAACCUACUUUCUUCCCCCUUAGUAGCAGACUUGAAUGAAUCUUCAUAUUUCUAGGAUUCUUCUUCCCUACCUGCUUUCUUGUUUAUUUUCUUGAUCUCCUCUCCUUUAGUGAAAAUCAUACGAGCCAUCAUCUUUACUUAACUUUUUUAAGGAUUGGUGUGGUUGAAGCAGUGGUAGAAGGUGUGGAAAUGGUUUCCUGUGGUGAUAAAAGAUUUUCAGAGGUGUUUGACAUAUCUAGGCUAGGGUAUGGAAAAUAAGAGAAUUAGAUUGUGUCUGGAAAAUGACAGAAGAAUGAGUGUUUUUGACGACUUGAGAGAGGUGAGGUAAGGAAUACACUAAAGCUGAUCAAUCUAUAGGGGAAUAAUUGAUGGGGUAACUACAGCUUUUC
rnacentral:lncRNA from 1 species